rnacentral:rRNA from 1 species
CUACGGGCGGACCAGUGGGGAAUAUUGGACAAUGGGCGCAAGCCUGAUCCAGCAAUGCCGCGUGAGUGAAGACGGCCUUAGGGUUGUAAAACUCUUUCGCUAGGGAAGAUAAUGACUGUACCUAGUAAAGAAGUCCCGGCUAACUCCGUGCCAGCAGCCGCGGUAAUACGGAGGGGACUAGCGUGGUUCGGAAUUACUGGGCGUAAAGAGUUCGUAGGCGGACUGACAAGUUAGAGGUGAAAUCCCAGGGCUCAACCCUGGAACUGCCUUUAAAACUGUCAGUCUAGAGACCGGAAGAGGUUAGGGGAAUACCUAGUGUAGAGGUGAAAUUCGUAGAUAUUAGGUGGAACACCAGUGGCGAAGGCGCCUAACUGGUCCGGUACUGACGCUGAGGAACGAAAGCGUGGGGAGCAAACAGGAUUAGAUACCCGUGUAGUC